rnacentral:rRNA from 1 species
CCCGGUGGUUAUAGCGGAGGGGCCAUACCCGUUCCCAUUCCGAACACGGAAGUUAAGUCCUCCAGCGCCGAUGGUACUGCGGGGGAGACUCCGUGGGAGAGUAGGGCACUGCCGGGA